CCUACGGGCGGCAGCAGUGGGGAAUAUUGGACAAUGGGGGCAACCCUGAUCCAGCCAUGCCGCGUGUGUGAAGAAGGCCCUCGGGUUGUAAAGCACUUUCAGUGAGGAAGAACGCCUGGUGGUUAAUACCCAUCAGGAAAGACAUCACUCACAGAAGAAGCACCGGCUAACUCCGUGCCAGCAGCCGCGGUAAUACGGAGGGUGCGAGCGUUAAUCGGAAUUACUGGGCGUAAAGCGCGCGUAGGUGGCUUGAUAAGCCGGUUGUGAAAGCCCCGGGCUCAACCUGGGAACGGCAUCCGGAACUGUCAAGCUAGAGUGCAGGAGAGGAAGGUAGAAUUCCCGGUGUAGCGGUGAAAUGCGUAGAGCUCGGGAGGAAUACCAGUGGCGAAGGCGGCCUUCUGGACUGACACUGACACUGAGGUGCGAAAGCGUGGGUAGCAAACAGGAUUAGAUACCCGUGUAGUC
rnacentral:rRNA from 1 species